UUGGAGGGCAAGUCUGGUGCCAGCAGCCGCGGUAAUUCCAGCUCCAAUAGCGUAUAUUAAAGUUGUUGCAGUUAAAAAGCUCGUAGUUGAAUUUCGGGGUUAGUAGGUUGGUCAUGCCUCUGGUAUGUACUGGUCUCACUGAUUCCUCCUUCCUGAUGAGCCGUAAUGCCAUUAAUUUGGUGUUGCGGGGAAUUUGGACUGUUACUUUGAAAAAAUUAGAGUGUUUAAAGCAAGCUAACGCUUGAAUACAUUAGCAUGGAAUAAUGAAAUAGGACGUUCGAUCCUAUUUUGUUGGUUUCUAGGAUUGACGUAAUGAUUAAUAGGGAUAGUUGGGGGCAUUAGUAUUCAAUUGUCAGAGGUGAAAUUCUUGGAUUUAUUGAAGACUAACUACUGCGAAAGCAUUUGCCAAGGAUGUUUUCAUUAAUCAAGAACGAAAGUUAGGGGAUCGAAGACGAUCAGAUACCGUCGUAGUCUUAACCAUAAACUAUGCCGACUAGGGAUCGGAUGAUGUUAAUUUUUUAAUGACUCAUUCGGCGCCUUACGGAAGAC
rnacentral:rRNA from 1 species